GAGGGUAGAGCUCAAUGGUAGAGUGCGUGCCUACCAUGCACAAAGCCCUGGGUUCAAUCCCCAGUACCUCCA
rnacentral:tRNA from 1 species